rnacentral:rRNA from 1 species
AGGCCCUGCUUGCAGGGUACUCGAGUGGCGAACGGGUGAGUAACACGUGGGUGAUCUGCCCUGCACUUCGGGAUAAGCUUGGGAAACUGGGUCUAAUACCGGAUAGGAGCCAUCUUUAGUGUGGUGGUUGGAAAGUUUUUUCGGUGUAGGAUGAGCUCGCGGCCUAUCAGCUUGUUGGUGGGGUAAUGGCCUACCAAGGCGGCGACGGGUAGCCGGCCUGAGAGGGUGUACGGCCACAUUGGGACUGAGAUACGGCCCAGACUCCUACGGGAGGCAGCAGUGGGGAAUAUUGCACAAUGGGCGCAAGCCUGAUGCAGCGACGCCGCGUGGGGGAUGAAGGCCUUCGGGUUGUAAACUCCUUUCGCUAGGGACGAAGCUUUGUUGUGACGGUACCUAGAUAAGAAGCACCGGCUAACUACGUGCCAGCAGCCGCGGUAAUACGUAGGGUGCGAGCGUUGUCCGGAAUUACUGGGCGUAAAGGGCUCGUAGGUGGUUUGUCGCGUCGUCUGUGAAAUUCUGGGGCUUAACUCCGGGCGUGCAGGCGAUACGGGCAUAACUUGAGUGCUGUAGGGGUAACCGGAAUUCCUGGUGUAGCGGUGAAAUGCGCAGAUAUCAGGAGGAACACCGAUGGCGAA